rnacentral:misc_RNA from 1 species
GAUGAAGAACGUAGCGAAAUGCGAUAAGUAAUGUGAAUUGCAGAAUUCAGUGAAUCAUCGAAUCUUUGAACGCACCUUGCGCUCCUUGGUAUUCCGAGUAGCAUGCCUGUUUGAGUGUCAUUAAUAUAUCAACCUCUUCAGCUUAUGCUUGUUGAGUGUUGGAUGGUGGGGGUUUGCUGGUGUCUUAUGAAGUCAGCUCCUCUGAAAUGCAUUAGCGGAACAAUUUGUUGACCGUUCAUUGGUGUGAUAAAAAUAUCUACGCUAUUGACGUCAGUCAGUUCAGCUUCUAACAGUCCAUUGACUUGGACAAAUUUUUCAUUAAUGUGACCUCAAAUCAGGUAGGACUACCCGCUGAACUUAAGCAUAUCAAUAAGCGGAGGA